rnacentral:misc_RNA from 1 species
AUUUUACUUAUCAGCACGCCACCGAACGUAAUAAAGCUUGAAAAAAAGCGGCCUAACAAUAGAAGUAUAUGGUUGUGUUAAUGUCAUUGGGCAAGCCGAUUAUAUUUUCGUUAUUGUCAACAAGAAAAUGAACCAAUACGUAACCCGUUAUCAAAAAAUCUCUUGUGUCGGUUAUGAUAUUUUUAUCCACUACUUUGUACUGCUGUUCGUUACGAAGAAAAAAAGAAUUAAUCUCGUCUUUUUCCAAACGAGUAUGCUCGUCAUUUUCUCCCUGAUCUUUCAAUAAUAAUUGUUCUCAUUAUGCUAAACGCAUCGGCUUUAUUACAGUAGUUUCCUGUAUCUAGUAUUUGUUUUAUGGUGUAUUUUUUAAGCAGCCGUUGCGAAAAUAGAUUUAGGUAUAUAUAUAUUUAAUCUCUCAAGAACUUAGCCUAUAAUUGACAAUGGAUGUUGUUAGUUUAUUUAAUGUACGUGACAACCUUAUAAAAAUCUGUUUGAUAACUCUGCGAAAAUUGAAAUGAACAUUCAAAAAUGAAAUUUACUUGCUUAUUUUAAUUAUAAAAAAAUAACAGACAAAUAUAGAAAUCCUUUUAAGACUUACGUGCAAGUUUGUUAUUGUUUAGUAUAAAAAAGAGGAUUUCAAGGCUUAAAUAAUUACACGGAUACGCUGAGGGAGGUUAUUAUGGGUGAAAUUAUCGUUUUUUCCUCUUUUCUAUCGUUGUUGAAAUCAUCAUCUGUUGUAAGAGAAUUAGUGCGAAUGCAUUUUUACAGCAUAAAAACAAAAAUUGCAGUUUUUUCUUAACUUGCAGUAGCUUGCUUCCUUUUACCUUACACAAAAAGAGUGUUUUUGCUGUGAAUCUAACAAUAUAUAGAUGGGCGCACUAGAUUUACGAGAUAUUGGGGAAGAACAAAGGAGACUCUCUGCAAUUUUUGCCUACGAUGGGCCAAGACGUUCGUUUUGUACUCAGAGAAAGAAAGAUACUGAUGGCAGUCCGACUCUCAGGAGUUUCCUAAAAAAUGGGGCUGCUGACGAAUCAUGUAAAAAGGAUCGUGAUGCAGAUCGCAUUAAACUGCCGCCUUUAGGCAGCGUCAAUAGGCCUUUGGUAAAGCGAAAACCUCUCGGUAGUGUAGAAGUGGAUUCGGAACACCAAAAUUUAGUAAGCCUACCCUCAAUCAGCACUGGGUGCAGCCGUCGGGAGACAAUCAUGGACGAAAAAGAGUUUGGAGAGCGCCCUCAGCGAAUCUUUCACGUGUUCGUCCCCAAGCAGACGACACGUCUUAGUACGUAUAUUGAGUCAGAGCAAAACGCUGCAGACGCUGAGUAUGAGAAGCUUGGUCAUCUCCGUUAUAAACACGGAAUAUUGACUAAUCCUUCACCGCCAUUGGAUAUUAUUGAUGGGAAGGACGAAGAAAUUACCUUUUGCAUUUGUAAACAACCUUUAAUUGGUUUACAAGCAGAGUUCUGCACAGAAUGUGGAGGUAAAAUAAAUGACAAUAGCCCCCGUAAUUCCAUCAGCAAUCUAGCUAAGCGAAGGCCAUCUGGAUUUAAGAGAGUGUCGUUAGGCACUUUAAGUAGCGAUCGCAAUAGUGACGUUUUACCAUCUACAUCUUUACAACACUAUUCAGAUGAAGAAAAACUGAAGUAUGUCAGUGACUUUAACAAUAACAAAGAACUAACAGGCAGCGAAAACGUCGAAGAUGCACUCGACCGGACGAUAGUUGAAGAGACGCUUGGCCCAUUGGUUAGGGAGACCGAUAAGAACAGCAUAUUAUUUGAUUAUACAUCAAAAUGGUUAGAAGAUGAAACCGGUGGAGCAAAUCAAGACACGAUCCACUCGAAGUUGCAGUCCUUCUCGAAAACGAAAGUGGAUCGAGAUGGUUGGAAAGAGGCUUAUAAUAAGGCGGUUGCUAUAGCACAAAUCUAUAAGGAUUCUAUCUUCACUAGUCGCGUAUCAAAGCCUUGGACAUUUUCUUUCUUUCAAGGUCGUACGUCAAAUUCAGUGUAUAAAAUUAAAAAGAAAAAAGGUGGGGAAUUAAAGCACAUUCUUGGUCGUGUGAAACUAGAAGACUACUAUCCAGGAGGUUUGAAAAAUCCAAAAUCGAAUAGAGUUAGCCAGGCGUUCUUAACCAGAGCCAGUAAGAUGAUGGCAAAGAGAACAAAGCCACCACCAUCGACGCUUAGCAGGCAACAAAGCGUUAUCAGCGUUAAAAGUUAUCCUAGCCUCUAUUCAUUUCACGCUACAUAAAAUUUAUAACGUAACGUGGACGUCAUCUUGCACUAGCGAAGUAAUAAGCCCAUGACCUAUCCUAUAUACCCGCUAAUUGAUUCAGCAUUUACUCCGAACUACCGAAGUCACUUAGAUUAUGGUACUAUAUUUAGUAUUAGCAUAUAUACAUAAAUAUAUAUAUAUAUAUAUAUAUAUUAAGGUACAAGCAAUAUUCUAAAGGUAUAAGUGUAGUAUAUACUUAUAGUAAUAUAGAUAUUGUUACAAGUACAUCUUGGAGUAUAUGAAAAUAUUUUAAUGUAUAUUAUCUACCCCAUAUAUUGUACGAUUUCUUUAGUAAGUAUGAGCUUUAUUAAUAUGGAAUAUUUUGCUGCAUUCCAUAUAUAGAUUCUCGUGCCAAACAAAAAAAACAACAGUUUUUUUCUACAGGUUAAUAUCCUCUUUUUUAUACGUUGUAUAACUUUCUAUUUCUGUGUUCAUAAACAUUUGGUUCUAUCUUUUCUUUCAUAUUUUAUAAGAAAAAAAAUCAAUGUGAAAAAGAAAUAAAAAUAAAAACCCCUUAUGCAG